rnacentral:lncRNA from 10 species
CCCGCGCCGGCCCGCCAGGGGGACGCCGGCCCCGCUCUGGGCGUCACUGCGCGCCCCGGCUACGCGCGCCCCGGCAUCCGCGAGAGAGGCGCGCGCCCGCCACCGCUGGGGGCUCCAGCCGCCCGCCGACCCGGGCCUGGCAGAGGGGACGCGGCGCCCAAGCCGCUCCUCCGGAUGGCGACAGAGACGGCCUGACGCGCCCGCAGCCUGGGCCCCCCACGGGGAGGACGGCCGGGCCAGGUGAAGUUCGCGCACUUGGGCCUUCCGCGCCCCCAUCCACCGCAGCCAGGGCCUGGAAGGCUGGGGAGGGGGCGGGGGCGGCAGACGCCUCCUAAGGUGGGUUCUGGGACUUGGAUCCGGAGUUUAUUCCAAGGAGAGGGUGCUCUGGGCCUGUUCCCUAGGUGUGCCCUGUUACCCAAAAUCGGGCUUGUGCAGUGGGGUCCCUGAGUCCACUGGGAGCACAGCCUCAGACCCCAGCAGAGUCACCCUUCAUCGGAAGCCCACCACCCUGAGGGCUCCUCCUCCACCUGGGGCGGCACUGCCAGGCACAGGCACGCACUUUCCCUCAGUCCUCUGCCCCACGAUCACUCUACUCGGGCACCUCUGCCACUGCCUGGUCCUUGCUGAGCCAUCUCCUGGUUCAUCUCCCUGGAGUCCCUGCAGGACCGGCUCUCAGUGGCGUCUCCGGGCUCCCAGUCCCAGGACUGGUCCUAUCCAGCCCAGGAGAUACGCUCCCCAGUCCAGGAUGUCCAGAUGGCCCUGCUGCCUGGAGAGGCUCUGGCCCCUGCCGGUAGCUGCCACAGCACCACCCCAAGCUCUGCCUUCCUGCAGGGAGGUGAUUCUGCAGAAGUUGGGGCUCCUGACAACUUUGGGGUGGCCAUGAGGGACGUACCUCUUGCCUCUGGAUGUGCAGGAUUCCAAUUCAUCCUGUCCAUCCCGAACUCCUGUGCCAGACAUUCCUUCAUUCAACCUCUGUUUAUUGAGCAACUACUUGGGCCAGGCACUGGGACUGGGGAAGCCAACAAGACAUAGAUUUUCUGUCCCCCUGGAAAGUGACAGUCAGUUUGAGAAACAGACAAGGAAACAAACAAUUCCAGUGCAGUGUGGCAAGCGUCACGAUGGGAGGGAGAGGAGAGCACUCUUGGAGCACAAGAGAGGAGCAUUUACCCUAAAAUCACACUCUAGAACACAGCAAGGUGUGUGCCAGGGAAGGCUUCCAGGAGACUGGUUUCCAGGCCCUUUUGGUCCAUCCUUAGGACAAACACACACACACAUGCACACAUAUAUGCACAUACAUGAACACACACACGCACGUGAACACACAGGCACACACAUCCACACACACGCACAUACAUGCACACACAUGCUUUAACACACAUGCACACACGCAUGCACAAACAUGCUUGGAGUGAAACUUUCCGAAGCAAUAUUUACCCCAAAAAUACUCUGAUGUUUUCUAUUGUAUCCUAAUUCAUUUUUGAAAUGCUGGUUGCCCUCCCAAUAAUUUGGUUUAUAGUAAUUUUCUUUCUUUAAAAAAUAUGGUUUGAAGAGAGAUGCAGUCUACCUUGACUUUGGGAGGGUAUAUUGGAGGCUUCUUGCCAAAGGACAGGGGCUGUGGUGACAAUGGGGUGGCUGGGGAGGGCUCCCAAGCAGAGGAGAAGGGGUGCAGUGCGGUACCCGGCCUGCUGUAUCCAGGAACUCAGACACUGAGGUUUUUGUGCUCGCAACAUUAGGGCUAUGGCGGGGAACCUUGGGCUAUGGGAGAGCAGUGCCUGGUUCAUUACAUGCUGAAUAUUUCCAGAAAAAGGGAAUGGAAGGGGAGCCCUUGGUGCUUAUGACUUGGAGUCUAGAAUGGUGGAGAGUCUGAAAAUGGUGACGCUAGAAAAGGUGAAUUCUCCACCCCAGGUUACAAGUAGACGGACCUGAGGAGUGGGGAGGCAGGGGGGAGGUGUGGGGUCCGAGAUCAGAUUGAAGAGAUGGGGUCUCCCUGGGACAGCAACCUUGAGGUAAUUACAAAGACACCACCCC